rnacentral:rRNA from 1 species
AAAUUGAAGAGUUUGAUCAUGGCUCAGAUUGAACGCUGGCGGCAGGCCUAACACAUGCAAGUCGAACGGUAACAGGAAGCAGCUUGCUGCUUUGCUGACGAGUGGCGGACGGGUGAGUAAUGUCUGGGUAACUGCCUGAUGGAGGGGGAUAACUACUGGAAACGGUGGCUAAUACCGCAUAACGUCGCAAGACCAAAGAGGGGGACCUUCGGGCCUCUUGCCAUCAGAUGUGCCCAGAUGGGAUUAGCUUGUUGGUGAGGUAACGGCUCACCAAGGCGACGAUCCCUAGCUGGUCUGAGAGGAUGACCAGCCACACUGGAACUGAGACACGG